rnacentral:rRNA from 1 species
GAGUUUAAUCCUGGCUCAGAUUGAACGCUGGCGGCGUGCUUAACACAUGCAAGUCGAGCGGUAACAGGUGUAGCAAUACAUGCUGACGAGCGGCGAACGGGUGAGUAAUGCAUCGGAAUCUUCCUAGUAGUGGGGAACAACCUGGGGAAACUCAGGCUAAUACCGCAUACGACCUACGGGUGAAAGCAGGGGAUCGCAAGACCUUGCGCUAUUAGAUGAGCCGAUGUCGGAUUAGCUAGUUGGUGAGGUAAAGGCUCACCAAGGCGACGAUCCGUAGCUGGUCUGAGAGGACGACCAGCCACACUGGAACUGAGACACGGUCCAGACUCCUACGGGAGGCAGCAGUGGGGAAUAUUGGACAAUGGGGGCAACCCUGAUCCAGCGACGCCGCGUGUGUGAAGAAGGCCUGCGGGUUGUAAAGCACUUUUAGUGGGGACAAAAAGCUACAGGCUAAUACCUUGUGGUCUUGAUUUUAA